CUUGAUCUUAAUCAUCUUCAACAUUGUUCAUAUAAAACCCAAAAAAAUUCUUCAUCACAAUUAGCAACAACAUCAACCUUUUCAUAACCAUAAUCACCUAGAUCUCAAUUUCAACAACAACCUCAGCAUCAUAAUCUUCAUCAAUCACUUUCUUAUCUUCCAUAUUCAUCAAUAACAAUAAUAACCCAAAGUUGUAUUCUUGUAAGGUAGGAGAAAUUAGAAAUCAAAACUCAAAAAAAAUUCUUGUCACUCUCUCUACGUUAUCUUCUUCUUCUUCCAUCACUAAUUGAUAACCAUCAAAAGGGAAACCCAUUUCGCCAGAUUUUGCUCUUUCCUUGGCAUGGCACUGUAAUAAAUUGAAAGAAAGCAAUAUCAUCAUUCAAAUGAAACUACACCUCAGUUUCAGAUUCAAAUGAAGCAUACCUAUCGAAAGGUUUCCUUCCCGUUAACAAUUCCAGAAGCAAAACGCCAAUACCCCAAAGGAAAAUACAUCUCUCCUUCAUAUCCUUCAACAUAAUCACCAUUUUAAUGUUUUUUUUUUCUGUUUGACCCUUUUAUGUUUGACCCUCUAAUAGAUCAUGUUCAUACUCAGAUUCAUUCACAACAACACCUCAAAUUCAGAUUCAGACUCCAAAGGAAGAAACGAAGCAAAAAGAGAAGGAAGGCGAGAGAUAGGGAUUUUGGCUUCAAUGGUUUUUCUUUUCUUUUCUUUAUACAUGGUUUAAGUUUGUGUUUUGAUUAUUAAAAAUGAUGAAGGAGGACAAUAUUCAUGGAUGAAAUUAGAUGACGGUGGUGGUGUUGAUUUAAGUUAAAAUACAUGGGCUUUAAUUUUGGAAGUUUGAAGAAAUAAAAAAUAAAAGUUUAUUGAUUUAUUUAGAAUUUUUUUUUUGAGAUUAUGGUUGUGGUAGUAAUUUUUUUUUAGGAAUGAUUAUGUUGAUGAAGAUGAAGAAGAAGAUGGGAGAAGAUGAUAAAGAAAGGUGAGAAAAAUAUUAGGUGUUGGUGGUUUACAAUAGACCCUACAUCAUCCAACAAACCUCUUUUAAAGAAAAAAUCAAAAGGAUGAAAUUUAAAAAUUUAAUAAGAUCUAUGGUGGACCACCUUUAAACAUGGUUCACCUUAGACAUUUGAUGUUAAAAAUUGACGAAAAGGACUAAAACAGUAAACGGUAGAAGACUUAUAGGACCAAAUUGACACACUUAAUAGUUAAGGAAUUAAACUGAGAAAAUAAAAUAAGUUAAGGGAU
rnacentral:lncRNA from 1 species